rnacentral:SRP_RNA from 1 species
AAAUGAGGCCUUCUCUUUGUAGGGCAGCCCUUUACAAGUGGCGAUGAUAAUCGGGUCUUACGCAAUUAGAAUCUACGAACCGUGUCAGGUCUGGAAGGAAGCAGCACUAAGUAGAACCUCUGGUGUGCCGUGAGGGUGCCUGAUUUGAGUUAACUAUAAAGGUAACGCUUAUGGAGGAUUGUCGAAGUAAGAUGCGCGG